rnacentral:rRNA from 1 species
UACGUAGGGUGCGAGCGUUAAUCGGAAUUACUGGGCGUAAAGCGUGCGCAGGCGGCUUUGCAAGACAGAUGUGAAAUCCCCGGGCUCAACCUGGGAACUGCAUUUGUGACUGCAAGGCUAGAGUACGGCAGAGGGGGAUGGAAUUCCGCGUGUAGCAGUGAAAUGCGUAGAAAUGCGGAGGAACACCAAUGGCGAAGGCAAUCCCCUGGGCCUGUACUGACGCUCAUGCACGAAAGCGUGGGGAGCAAACAGG